UACUUGUAGUUUACUUGCGCCUUCUCUUCUGGACUAGGGUGAGACAAGUUUCUUGUCUUCACUCUGUUACUUUGAGCAAAUUGGAGUGCUCCAACCAGGCUAAAGCUUGAACAGCUCAGCAUGGAAUAACGAGAUAGGACUUUGGUUCUUCUUGUUGGUGUCAUGAACCGAUAGUAAUGGUUGACAAGGACAUACGGGGGCAUUUGUACUUGCUGGAGAGAGGUGAAAUUCUAAGACCCUGCAAAGACAAACAAGUGCGAAAGCAUUUGCCCAGUGUGUGCCUGUUGAUCAAGGACGAAAGUUGGGGGAUCGAAGACGAUUAGGUACCGUCGUAGUCCCAACUAUAAACUAUGCCGACUGAGGAUCGGUGGCCGUACAUAUACGACUCCUUCGGCACUCCAAGAGAAAUCUAAGUCUCUGGGCCCUGGGGGGAGUAUGGUCGCAAGGCUGAAACUUAAAGGAAUUGACGGAAGGGCACCACCAGGAGUGGAGCCUGCGGCUUAAUUUGACUCAACGCGGGGAACCUCACCAGGCCCGGACAUAGUCAUGAUUGACAGAUUGAGAGUUCUUUCUCGAUUCUAUGGGUGGUGGUGCAUGGCCGUUCUUAGUCGGUGAGGUGACUUGUCUGGUUAAUUCCGAUAACGGACGAGACCUCGACCUGCUAACUAGUGACUGUUUACUCUGUAGCGGUUUUACUUCUUAGAGGGACUUUGG
rnacentral:rRNA from 1 species